rnacentral:rRNA from 1 species
CAGUAGCCGCGGUAAUACGAAGGGGGCUAGCGUUGCUCGGAAUCACUGGGCGUAAAGGGUGCGUAGGCGGGUCUUUAAGUCAGAGGUGAAAUCCUGGAGCUCAACUCCAGAACUGCCUUUGAUACUGAGGAUCUUGAGUUCGGGAGAGGUGAGUGGAACUGCGGGUGUAGAGGUGAAAUUCGUAGAUAUUCGCGAGAACUCCAGUGGCGAAGGCGGCUCACUGGCCCGAUACUGACGCUGAGGCACGAAAGCGUGGGGAGCAAACAGGAUUAGAUACCCCUGUAGUCCCUGUCUCUUAUAC